rnacentral:rRNA from 1 species
UACGGAGGGGGCUAGCGUUGUUCGGAAUUACUGGGCGUAAAGCGCACGUAGGCGGCUUUGUAAGUUAGAGGUGAAAGCCCAGGGCUCAACCCUGGAAUUGCCUUUAAGACUGCAUCGCUUGAAUCAUGGAGAGGUGAGUGGAAUUCCGAGUGUAGAGGUGAAAUUCGUAGAUAUUCGGAAGAACACCAGUGGCGAAGGCGACUCACUGGACAUGUAUUGACGCUGAGGUGCGAAAGCGUGGGGAGCAAACGGG